CCGUCCCUGGGGAGCCAGUGGCAGGUUCCGAGGCGUCCGCCCCCCCCCACCCCCCGGAUUCCCGCGGUCGCGGUGGGAGCGUGUGCUAGACACGGCUUUGCUCGGGUCCGGGUACUGAACACACGGCGGCCUGAUCGGUCGAUGAUUUACGUUUUGGCUGCGGAAUGAUCUCCCCUGCUCGGACCACCCUCCCCAGAGAAGGUCCCCGCCCUCCCCGCGCGUUCGCGCUCAGCGCGGGGGUCUCUGUAAGGAGCGCCGUGGGAGUCUUCCGCCCUCCGCUCCAGCAGCAGCUGCCUCCGGACCCCGAAGCGUACGAAUUACCCGCCUCGCUCUCUUUUUCAGAAAUAGGAGGGAAAGGGAGAGUGCAAAUUGAUUUCUCGCAGAGACUGAGGCGCUGAAUGAUAUAGGGAAUAAACAUUUGCCCUGGAUAAAAAUGUCCCUGGCUGUUGUCCAGCUCUAAUGAUGUCCUAGAGCCGAAGUGUUUCUUCUGUUGUCUCAUUUUACCAAGAGGAUGAUUUCUGUGUAUGUCUCUCUGUUUUAGAGAGGCUGACAAAUGCUGCUAGGAGGAUCUGAGGUUCCCAUAAAGAGGAUGAAAAUUCUGAAUUACAUUCAUUACAAAUAACCCUUAACAAUUGUGAGAGGUAGAGAGCACUCUUUUCACAUAAGACUUUGAUAUGCUGCCUAAAGCUACUUUCAUAAUUUCCUAUUCAAAGAAAUGUACUUGUUCACUGAGGACCCACCCUGACUUAAAUUAGAAAAAUGUAACAUUCAGAUUUAUAUUUUAUAUGUGAAAUAAAUGUGUGAUUGCUGUUCUUAAACAUUUGACAAAAAGACAGGAUAACAAAAAUAUUAAUUUUGUGGCCCAUAGUUUAUGAACUUUAAAAGUGUUUACAGCAUGUAAAGUUUAUUUAACAAUUUAAGUGUUUGAGCUCUAUACUAAUUCAUAUGGUUACACUGGAUCAACUCCUUAAUGAAGCCAUAGGCUUUACAUCCCCUAGCUGCCUUUUACUUUGAGAACAAAUCUGGUUUAUACUUUGACUGCUCCAAAAGUUAUCCAUUUUAAUUUUACGUCGAGAAUGUCUUCCUUGGAUAAUCACAAUGCGUAUUUGCAGCUAGCACUUCAGUACGUUUUACAUUAUUGGUGACACUGUUCUUAGCUAUCGUGGUGCCACCUUCUUAGAAGUACUGUGUAUGAGUACCAACUAAUGUAUUUCUUGCCUAUUAACCCACUAAAAUUUCUAAUCUCAAAGCAAUAUUCAAGAUACACUUUAUUAUAGAAAUUGGAAAGCGAUUUGCCUGGGAAGCAAAAUGUUGACAUGAUUCAGGUGAUUUUAACAUUACAUCUAACGUGUAACAAAAAUGGGUUAAAGAUAAAUAAAUUGGGACUAUUACUUGCAUAGCAAAGACAGUCACACAUGACACACACAUUUGUGCAUAUAUAAUUACCUUCAAUGAUAUAUUGAAAUGUAUUCAUUUUCACAUCAGGUGUGUUUAUUUUGUUUUUAGAGUUUUCUCUUUGAGUCUAAAGUUUUUUAAAUACCUAUGUGUGCAAAAAUCUUCACAUUUUAUUUUAUAAGAUCAAUAUACGCUAAAUAAACCAGGGCUAAUGUAUUCAAGUCCAAAAAGUAUGUUGGAACUUGAACGGACAUUAAGGAUCAUUUAAUCUUAUCACUCAUGAUGACAAAGAAGUGGAGACCCAGAGAGGUUAAUUGAUUAGUGUAAUCAUACACUAGCCAGUAACCUAAGGAACUUUAAAUGUAGGUUUCUUAACUUCUUAGCUAGUGGUCAUUCUAUAAAUUUUAUUACUAAGACAGGCAUUCUUUGAGAAUGGGCCUAGAAAAUAAGUGAAAGGAAGGGAAAGUAGCGCAAAGAUAUAUAAAUCACACCGAGUCUUCUUAGCUACUUUUCUGAUAAUACUUUUCAUUGUAGAAAACUUUAAUUCUCCUGCUUUAUUUUGUCCUGCACUCCCCCACCUUCACAUGAUUGGAACCGAUUUCAUGAUAAAAUUUACCUUUGCAGAAAAUAUCCUCAGUAUUCUUUUUGUACACACAUUGGGUUGCUGUUCCCUAGACUACUUUCCCUCAUGGAAUAUAAACUGUCCAUAAUUCCAAUCACUUGCAAUGUCAUACUCCAUUAUAUCACCUAUAUGUUCUACUUUUUACAUUCCCUAAAAAUAUAGAAAGUGGAUUGUUCCAAGAGGAAAGCUGUCAUGUCAAAAUAAGAAGUUUAAUUACAAUCUAACACAUAUCUGAAAUUGUACACACACACACACAAUAUGAAAGAAAUGCAGAGAUUAAGAGAGUGUCUUUUAAUGGAAACAUUAAAUAAAACAUACAAACAAAAAUAUCUCACCACACAUGUUCCAUCAGUAUAUAAAAAAGUUCCAAUUUGAAUAAAAGCUGCAAGACAUCAACCAUUUAGAAGUGUUCAGUGUUCUGAAGUGGUUAGAGAAAACGUACCAGUGUUACUUUAUAUACAUCAAUAUCUGUGUGUUACAUGCAAGCCAUUUUGUUUUGAAAAUGGCAAUUCUGAAGUAGAAUAUCAGCACUAAAAUCCAUUUUGCAGUUAUCAUUACUUCAAAAGAGUUAUCAUUCUUGGAUUCAACAAGAUGAACAUAGAAUCAAAUGAAACAUUUAAAAAUGUCUAUAGUGUAUGCUUAUAAAAUAAAAAUUUUUGCACUAAUCUGAAAAA